CGUUCUUAUUUAUUUUUCUGUCGCCCAGCCGGCGACAAAGAUCCUAAACUCCCGUUGCAGCAGCGUCCACCUGCUGAGGGCGGGAACGGCCUGAGCGACAGGCCGCCCACCGACCUGUUUCUCCUGAACGCAAGGCCCUUUCUGCUCUCCUGUCCGUGUGGGGUCCGCAAGGCUGAUUUUUGGGCUCGCCUGUUUGCAAGCGGUGGUGGAAAGGAGUACGAGGGAAAACGUAACGCCGUGGGCGACGCUCCGAAGUUCCUUCAAAGUGGGAGGAAUUCCUCGCUGUCAUGCUUGCAGAGAAAGGCCAAAUUCUGCAGAGGGCUUUCCUUGCCUCAGCAGACAAAAUCCCAAUGUGGGGAAAGGAGAUUUCUUUUCUGUGAGUUUCUUCUCGGCCAUUUUUGGUUCUUCCAGCAACUUGGCCAUGGGCAGAACCCAAUAGAACAGCUUCGGCUAGCAGUGCCUCAGUUUCUUUCUUUCUUUCUUUCUUUCUUUCUUUCUUUCUUUCUUUCUUUCUUCCCUUGUUUCCUUCCUUCCUCCUUCCUUUCACCUUCAUUCUUUUCAUUCCUUCCUUCCAUCCAUCUUUCCUUCCUUCCUUCCUUCCUUCCUUCCUUCCUUCCUUCCUUCCUUCCUUCCUUUCUUUCCUUCCUUCCUUCCUUCUUUCCUUUUCCUUCCUUCCUUUCCUUCUUUCUUUCUGCUCUUCUCUUCCUUCCUUCCUUUUCAAUUCUUCCUUCUUUCUUUCUGUCCUUCCCCCCCCUUUCUUCCCUCCCUCUUUUCUUCCUUCCUUCUAUCCUUCCUUCCUUUUCUCCUCUGCUUUCCUUCCCUUGCUUCCUUUUCUUUCUUCCUUUUCCUCUCUUCCUCUCUCCCUUCCUUCUUUCCCUGCUUCCCUCCUUCCUUUCUCCCAUGGUGUCUGAACCUGUGAGCCUGACGGCACAGUGGUGCUACCCUUUUCAUGAGCAUCUUUCCUUUCCAUUGAACAAGGUCGCGGGUUGGGCUGGUUGUUUUAUCUCACAUACACACACACACACACUUCCCAAGGUGGAAUCUUUGCUCCCGAUUCAGAGAAGGCGGUGGCACAUCUGGGCAUCUGGGGGCCCUCAAACUGCCCAGGAGAGAGGGCAAGCGAAAUUGGGUCGCCUCAUCUCUGCCUGGAAAGGAGGAUGGGGCACCGGACCCCCCGGGGGUGACGUGGGGCAGGCAGGGGGCAGGUUCUGGGGUGGCUGA
rnacentral:lncRNA from 1 species